rnacentral:rRNA from 1 species
UACGUAGGGUGCAAGCGUUGUCCGGAAUUAUUGGGCGUAAAGAGCUCGUAGGCGGUUUGUCGCGUCUGCUGUGAAAACCCGAGGCUCAACCUCGGGCCUGCAGUGGGUACGGGCAAACUAGAGUGCGGUAGGGGAGAUUGGAAUUCCAGGUGUAGCGGUGAAAUGCGUAGAUAUCUGGAGGAAUACCGGUGGCGAAGGCGGCAUCCUGGACCGGCAUUGACGCUGAUGAGCGAAAGCUAGGGGAGCAAACGGG